UAGGGAAUCUUCGGCAAUGGACGAAAGUCUGACCGAGCAACGCAGCGUGAGUGAAGAAGGUUUUCGGAUCGUAAAACUCUGUUGUUAGAGAAGAACAAGGACGUUAGUAACUGAACGUCCCCUGACGGUAUCUAACCAGAAAGCCACGGCUAACUACGUGCCAGCAGCCGCGGUAAUACGUAGGUGGCAAGCGUUGUCCGGAUUUAUUGGGCGUAAAGCGAGCGCAGGCGGUUUCUUAAGUCUGAUGUGAAAGCCCCCGGCUCAACCGGGGAGGGUCCUUGGAAACUGGGAGACUUGAGUGCAGAAGAGGAGAGUGGAAUUCCAUGUGUAGCGGUGAAAUGCGUAGAUAUAUGGAGGCACACCAGUGGCGAAGGCGGCUCUCUGGUCUGUAACUGACGCUGAGGCUCGAAAGCGUGGGGAGCAAACAGG
rnacentral:rRNA from 1 species